UCUCCGUUGGUGAACCAGCGGAGGGAUCAUUACAGGACUCGCAAGACCCCUACAACCCUGUGAACUUAACUAUAAGCACGUUGCUUCGGCGGGUGUCUCGGAGGGGGUUCUCCCUCCCCGAGACGCUAAACCCGCCGGCAGCCUACUAUACUCUGUCUCUUUGCGUUGGCAUCUCGAGUACAAUCAAACAAGUUAAAACUUUCAACAACGGAUCUCUUGGUUCUG
rnacentral:misc_RNA from 1 species